rnacentral:sRNA from 1 species
GGAGAUGUAGUGUGCACUUUCCGGCCCCCGUCGCGGGAGCCGCUUCGGGCCUUCUGGGCAUGUGUGCCGUAUGGCUCCAGGUUUGUUUUUCUCCCCGGCAGUCUGAGGGGGAGGGCUCCCGGCAUCUCCUGGCGUCCGGGUAGAGGACGCGGAGGGUCGCAGCUUCAUUGCCUGAUGUCUUCGGGAAGUAUUUUGAAGUCAUCGUGGCUAUGGAUUGGGGAAUUUCUUGUUUCCACUGACCUGUGAGGCCGCGCACGCGGAGGGAGGCACCCCAGGCCCUCCGGCACUGUCCAGCCUCGCCUGUGUUCCCAGUAGCACCAGUGGGCAUUUUCAGAGGGUCCAGCUCGUGGCUCAAGUGACAGGAAGAUGUAGGAGCUUUCUGUCUUGAGUGAGGAUUCGAACCAAAGGGCUUAGGCCCAGCUGUCUUGGAGCAAAGCAGCUGUUGUGGGAUGCUGAGCUGCUGGCGCACUG